AUUGAACGCCGGCGGCAUGCCUUACACAUGCAAGUCGAACGGCAGCGCGGACUUCGGUCUGGCGGCGAGUGGCGAACGGGUGAGUAAUACAUCGGAACGUACCCUGUUGUGGGGGAUAACUAGUCGAAAGAUUAGCUAAUACCGCAUACGACCUGAGGGUGAAAGUGGGGGACCGCAAGGCCUCACGCAGCAGGAGCGGCCGAUGUCUGAUUAGCUAGUUGGUGGGGUGAAGGCCCACCAAGGCGACGAUCAGUAGCUGGUCGGCGAUGACGAUCAGCCACACUGGGACUGAGACACGGCCCAGACUCCUACGGGAGGCAGCAGUGGGGAAUUUUGGACAAUGGGGGCAACCCUGAUCCAGCAAUGCCGCGUGUGUGAAGAAGGCCUUCGGGUUGUAAAGCACUUUUGUCCGGAAAGAAAUCGCGCUGGUUAAUACCUGGCGUGGAUGACGGUACCGGAAGAAUAAGCACCGGCUAACUACGUGCCAGCCGCCGCUGUAA
rnacentral:rRNA from 1 species